rnacentral:lncRNA from 12 species
CAAUAAUUAGGAGUAGGAGUACUAAGGCCAGGGAUCCUAAGAAUGGAAGAAGCCAGAAGAACAAUGAACAGGUUUCUUUCUAGGACAGCUAUCCUUGUGUUGUACAGAGCCGGAAGGAGGCAACCAAAGGAAGAGCAGGAACUGGAUUUCCCUAAGACUCUUCUGAGGCCAGAUUAUCAGCCUGGAGACAAUGAGAGGAGUGUUCAUUUGAAUGUUUUCUAGUGAGACACCUGCCUUAUUGAGUUCGGUUUGUGUAUCUGUCGACCUUCAAUUAUCUACUCACACUCCAAAAGCAGGUUAGUGGAUUUUUGCAUUUUUCUCUUUACUA